rnacentral:lncRNA from 1 species
UCGUAUUUGGUGAACUUUAUUACUUAAAAUGAUUAAAUUAUAUCGAACUCAGUGUGAAACGAUUGUAAACAUUCAUUAUUUAUAAUUAUCUUGGAAUGGAGUUUGUGUAUGGCAUGCCUACAGUGAAUAGAAGUGAUGUUCAGCCUUUACAAAAGUUUGGUCAAUAUUUUUGGAGUAACUCUUAUGGAUCUGGUGUGUACAUUCCAAGCAUGGUGGAGUUUAGUAAUUUACUGGUGACAAUAAUUUAAUACCAGCCUUUCUUUGGUUGUAGAAUCUUUAUUUAGCGAGCUAUUGCGAAUGAAAAAUCAAAAUGUAGAACAACGGCUGAAGCAUAUAAAUAUGAAUAAAGCAUAAAAAGAAAAAGGCA